AUUGGACGCUGGCGGCAUGCUUUACACAUGCAAGUCGAACGGUAACAGGUUAAGCUGACGAGUGGCGAACGGGCGAGUAAUGCACCGGAACGUGCCCGGUCGUGGGGGAUAACGCAGCGAAAGCUGCGCUAAUACCGCAUACGAUCUGAGGAUGAAAGCGGGGGACCGUAAGGCCUCGCGCGAUCGGAGCGGCCGAUGGCACGAUUAGGUAGUUGGUGGGGUAAAGGCUCACCAAGCCAACGAUCUGUAGCUGGUCUGAGAGGACGACCAGCCACAGUGGGGCUGAGAGACGGCCCAGACGCCUACGGGAGGGAGCAGUGGGGAAUUUUGGACAAUGGGCGAAAGCCUGGUCCAGCAAUGCCGCGUGCAGGAAGAAGGCCUUCGGGUUGUAAGCUGCUUUUGUACGGAGCGAAAAGGUCGCCUCUAAUACAGGGGGCGCAUGACGGUACCGUAAGAAUAAGCACCGGCUAACUACGUGCCAGCCGCCGCAGUAA
rnacentral:rRNA from 1 species